rnacentral:rRNA from 1 species
UGAUCCUGGGUCAGGAUGAACGCUAGCGGCAGGCUUAACACAUGCAAGUCGAGGGGUAUAUUUCUUCGGAGAUAGAGACCGGCGCACGGGUGCGUAACGCGUAUGCAAUCUACCUUUUACAGAGGGAUAGCCCAGAGAAAUUUGGAUUAAUACCUCAUAGUAUUAUGAAAUGGCAUCAUUUUAUAAUUAAAGUCACAACGGUAAAAGAUGAGCAUGCGUCCCAUUAGCUAGUUGGUAAGGUAACGGCUUACCAAGGCUACGAUGGGUAGGGGUCCUGAGAGGGAGAUCCCCCACACUGGUACUGAGACACGGACCAGACUCCUACGGGAGGCAGCAGUGAGGAAUAUUGGACAAUGGGCGCAAGCCUGAUCCAGCCAUGCCGCGUGCAGGAUGACGGUCCUAUGGAUUGUAAACUGCUUUUAUACGAGAAGAAACACUACUUCGUGAAGUAGCUUGACGGUAUCGUAAGAAUAA